UCUUUCGACUGGUCAUGUCAAAUUUAGGAUUUUAAUAGUAAUAUAUCUUGAACUUCUAAGUUCUCACUGAAAGAAUAGCUAGGGUUAGUGAAAAUCUUGAGGAAUAAAUUUCGGUUCAGACAUCCAAAUGUGUAUAUUACUUGGCUCAAUAUAUAUAGACCUGCAUAACUUUAAAUAUACUUUAUAACUCCAUCCCUAAAAAGGAUUUGUUAACAUGUCUUUCUUCUAAGAAACCCUCCCUCUGAACUGGAGUC
rnacentral:lncRNA from 1 species